rnacentral:tRNA from 1 species
GCCCGCGUAGCUCAGUUGGUAGAGCAAUGCAUUCGUAACGCAUAGGUCAGCAGUUCGAUCCUGCUCGUGGGCU